UUUUUUUUUCCAGUGAGGAAGACUGGCCCUGAGCUAACAUCUGUUGCCAAUCUCCCUCUUUUUGUUUGAGGAAGAUUGUCUCUGAACUAACAUCUGUGGUGGUCUUCCUCUAUUUUGUAUGUGGGACACCACUGCUGCAUGGUUUGAUGAGUGGCGCGUAGAGCCGUGCCCGGGAUACAAACCCACGAGCCCCAGGCCACUGAAGCAGAGCACGAGAACUUAACCACUGUGCCGCUAGGCUGGCCCCUGGAGUAACAGCUUUUGUUGAAGCUCAGGUUGGACAUGACAGGGACUUAAUUACUGAAGAAGGUCCAGAACCCUUCAGAUCAACUUACAAGAAGUUCAAUAUGUAAAACAGAUAAAUGUGCUUGUAAUGAGAAAGGAUGAGAGUUAUUCCAACCUGCCAGCACGUCAUACCCCCAUUCCCACCCUCACCUCAGGGAAGGCUCCAGGGAGUACUUUGAAAACCAUUGGAAAAAGUCAUCCCCUCUUAAAUGACAAAAUGCCAUGUCUGUAGUAUGCUGCAUUAAAAUUUCUACCUAUUCCAAUUAUUUUUCUAUUUUUCUGCCAAUCUCAUAUGUGAAUUCAUUUAUGGAGCCUAAAAGCUGUAUAAUAUAACAAAAGAAGAUAUUGAAAUAUCUAAUAAAUAAGUAAAACAGCAACAUGGGGGUGGGGGUGGGCCUGUGAAAUUAGCAUAUUUCUUUAAAAUGAUGUCUAUUGGCAAGAGUUGACUAAAUACCUUCACUAUAAAGAAGAUUAACUUGGUAAAAUGAUAUAUUGGUCAAUAACUUAAUAACAUGUGUCACAAGUGUACAAUGUUGAUAUUCUUUGGUCUACCAAAUCACUUGUAGGAUUUGACCCUAAAGGAAUAACCAGAAAUGUAUGGAAAAUUCUUGCUAUUGUUUAUACUAGUGAUAAUAUUGAAAAUGAUCCAAAUGUUUAGCAGUGUGGGACUAGUUAAAUGAAGCCUGGCACAGCCGUGAGAUAGGAUGCUCUUCAGCCAUUACAGCAAUGUUAUAAAAAGAAAAAUAUCUUAUUGAGUACUUGUGAUGAAUCUGGCACAACACCAAGCACCUUAAUUACAUUUUCUUACUUAAGCCUAACAAUAUCCCUAGAUGAUAGGGAUCAUUAUUCCUGUUUAUAAACGAGAAUACACAGAAGUUAAGUUCAAACAGCUAGUAAAGUAGUGUUGCUGGAAUUCAACCCACAUCUGCUCUUAACCCAUGUUCUUAAUCACUAUUCUAAUGAUAUAGGAAAAUAUUCACUAUUACUGAUAGGUUAUUGUUUUAAUGCAGUUUAACUGACAUUAAAAUAAACAACAAACAAAAACUCCCUCCUAUCUGCAAUCCCUUCUUCCUUUCCAAAGUUAUUUGUGCUUGGUAAUUUUUUCCUCAAAAUGAAUCUACCUUUACACAUUUUUUAUUAUUUUUUUUUAAAGAUUUUAUUUUUCCUUUCUCUCCCCAGAUUCCCUUGGUACACACUUGUGUAUUUUCAGUUGUGGGUCCUUCUGGUUGUGGCAUGUGGGAUGCCACCUCAGCAUGCCUUGAUGAGUGGUGCCACAUCCACUCCCAGGAUUCGAACUGGCGAAACCCUGGGCUGCUGAAGCGGAGCACGCGAACUUAACCACUCCACCCCUGGGCUGGUCCCUACACAUGUUUUUUAUUGGUUUUGGAAAUAUUAAUGCCUGCUGUAUGAAUUCAGACAAUACUGAAGAUUAUGAAGUAGCUGCACCUUUAGUCAUAAAUUAUAUCUCUCUAUAUAUAUGAGUGAUACACUUGUAGGCUCUUUUAUGUUCCCUCAAUUCUCUUUCUCCUUGCUGUAGGGUGAACUUAUAGGCGGAGUUGGGGAUGGAGACAGACGGGAAAGGCAGAUGGAGUGGAGGGAUCCAUGCAGGUCUGAACGGCUGACUUUAAACACAGCAGGGUCCGUUGUGUAUGUGGUGCAGCACGGUGGUUAGAAGCACUGGUUCUGGAGCCCGACGGGCUAGAUUGAGUCCGGGCUUUUGAACUUGGGCAACUUGUUUGUUCUCUUGGUGCCUCAAUUUCUUCAUAAAAUGAAGGUGGUCAUUGUACCUACCUCUUAAGAUUAUGGUAGAGAUUAAAUUAAUGUGUGUAAAGUGCUUAGAAUAGUGCCUGGGACAUAGUAAGUGCUCCACCAUUAGGUAAAUUAUUGUCGUUAUUAGGCACGUGUGCAGAGAUGGGAGAAGAGGAGAAAAAUAACUUGUGAGCGCUUAUCAUGUGCCAUAUACCUACAUCAUCUCUCCACUUGAUCUCUAUGAGUUAGAUAUUUUUAUUAUUCCCUUUUUAUACAGAUAAGGAAAGUAAUGUUCUCAGAGGUGUUAUAUGGAAGGAAUAGAAUGAAUCAUUAGACCCAUUUCCAGGAAUAAGGACAAUACAAAUACUGAAAGCCACCUGGCCAGCAGAUAGCAAAAUGCUGAGGAAUGAGAUGGGAAACAGGCCUGCAGAGUCCUUUUAGGACCAAGGGGCAGUGUUUUAAAUUCAGGAUUGGGUGGGUUCCCAAUCUAGUUUCAGAAAACUCUGCUUUGGAAAUCCAACUGUUUUUAUGCUGGCUAUAUUUUCCAUAAGUACUUCCUGUUUUAUUCUCCCUUAGUAUGCACUAAGAUUAUUUCUGAAUUAUCAGUCUAUCUCAUUUGUGCUUUGAGGGAGCAAGGAGGAAAAAGGGAUCCUUGGCCACCUGCUGCCGGAGCUUUCAGGGAGAAUAUGUCAGUGAGAUACAGGUGCUGGGCUUCAGACGCCAGCAGCCCAGAGGGAACAGAAAUGCAAGGAGUAAAAGCCUCUCCCCCAGAGGCUUCUGGAGUCUUCUCUGACUUGGAAGCUUUUGAACAAUGUUUCCUAGAGGUUGGCCUUUCUCUUACUCAUCUGUCCAGC
ensembl:lncRNA